rnacentral:rRNA from 1 species
UACGGGGGGGGCAAGCGUUGUUCGGAAUUACUGGGCGUAAAGGGCUCGUAGGUGGCCAACUAAGUCAGACGUGAAAUCCCUCGGCUUAACCGGGGAACUGCGUCUGAUACUGGAUGGCUUGAAUCCGGGAGAGGGAUGCGGAAUUCCAGGUGUAGCGGUGAAAUGCGUAGAUAUCUGGAGGAAUACCGGUGGCGAAGGCGGCAUCCUGGACCGGCAUUGACGCUGAUGAGCGAAAGCUAGGGGAGCAAACGGG